rnacentral:rRNA from 1 species
UGCGAAGGGGGCUAGCGUUGCUCGGAAUCACUGGGCGUAAAGGGUGCGUAGGCGGGUCUUUAAGUCAGGGGUGAAAUCCUGGAGCUCAACUCCAGAACUGCCUUUGAUACUGAAGAUCUUGAGUUCGGGAGAGGUGAGUGGAACUGCGAGUGUAGAGGUGAAAUUCGUAGAUAUUCGCAAGAACACCAGUGGCGAAGGCGGCUCACUGGCCCGAUACUGACGCUGAGACGCGAAAGCGUGGGGAGCAAACAGG